rnacentral:rRNA from 1 species
UGGGGAAUAUUGCACAAUGGGCGCAAGCCUGAUGCAGCGACGCCGCGUGAGGGAUGACGGCCUUCGGGUUGUAAACCUCUUUCAAUAGGGACGAAGCGCAAGUGACGGUACCUAUAGAAGAAGGACCGGCCAACUACGUGCCAGCAGCCGCGGUAAUACGUAGGGUCCGAGCGUUGUCCGGAAUUACUGGGCGUAAAGAGCUCGUAGGUGGUUUGUCGCGUUGUUCGUGAAAACUCACAGCUUAACUGUGGGCGUGCGGGCGAUACGGGCAGACUAGAGUACUGCAGGGGAGACUGGAAUUCCUGGUGUAGCGGUGGAAUGCGCAGAUAUCAGGAGGAACACCGGUGGCGAAGGCGGGUCUCUGGGCAGUAACUGACGCUGAGGAGCGAAAGCGUGGGGAGCGAACAGGAUUAGAUACCCUGGUAGUCCACACCGUAAACGGUGGGUACUAGGUGUGGGUUUCCUUCCUUGGGAUCCGUGCCGUAGCUAACGCAUUAAGUACCCCGCCUGGGGAGUACGACCGCAAGGCUAAAACUCAAAUGAAUUGAC